rnacentral:rRNA from 1 species
UACGGAGGGGGCUAGCGUUGUUCGGAAUUACUGGGCGUAAAGCGCACGUAGGCGGCUUUGUAAGUUAGAGGUGAAAGCCCGGGGCUCAACUCCGGAAUUGCCUUUAAGACUGCAUCGCUAGAAUUGUGGAGAGGUGAGUGGAAUUCCGAGUGUAGAGGUGAAAUUCGUAGAUAUUUGGAAGAACACCAGUGGCGAAGGCGACUCACUGGACACAUAUUGACGCUGAGGUGCGAAAGCGUGGGGAGCAAACAGG